UAGGGAAUAUUGCACAAUGGGGGAAACCCUGAUGCAGCGACGCCGCGUGAGUGAUGAAGGCCUUCGGGUCGUAAAGCUCUGUCGUAUGGGACUAACAAAAUGAAGGUACCAUGCAAGAAAGGAUCGGCUAACUUCGUGCCAGCAGCCGCGGUAAGACGAGGGAUCCUAGCGUUGUUCGGAAUUAUUGGGCGUAAAGCGGGUGUAGGCGGACUUAUAAGUCAGGUGUGAAAUCCCAGGGCUCAACCCUGGAAGUGCACUUGAUACUGCAAGUCUUGAGUGUGGUAGAGGCUAUUAGAAUUCCUGGUGUAGUGGUGAAAUACGUAGAUAUCAGGAGGAAUACCGGAGGCGAAGGCGGAUAGCUGGGCCAACACUGACGCUGAGACCCGAAAGCGUGGGGAUCAAACAGGAUUAGAUACCCUCGUAGUCCCUGAGCGGGCUGGCAAGGCGCAU
rnacentral:rRNA from 1 species